rnacentral:rRNA from 1 species
UACGUAGGGUGCAAGCGUUGUCCGGAAUUAUUGGGCGUAAAGAGCUCGUAGGCGGUUCGUCGCGUCGGCUGUGAAAACCCGGAGCUCAACUCCGGGCCUGCAGUCGAUACGGGCGGACUCGAGUUCGGCAGGGGAGACGUGGAAUUCCUGGUGGUAGCGGUGAAAUGCGCAGAUAUCAGGAGGAACACCGGUGGCGAAGGCGGGUCUCUGGGCCGAUACUGACGCUGAGGAGCGAAAGCGUGGGGAGCGAACAGG